GACGAACGCUGGCGGCGUGCUUAACACAUGCAAGUCGAACGGAAAGGUCCUGCUUUUGUGGGGUGCUCGAGUGGCGAACGGGUGAGUAACACGUGAGUAACCUGCCCUUGACUUUGGGAUAACUUCAGGAAACUGGGGCUAAUACCGGAUAGGAGCUCCUGCUGCAUGGUGGGGGUUGGAAAGUUUCGGCGGUUGGGGAUGGACUGGCGGCGUAUCAGCUUGAUGGUGGGGUAGUGGCUAACCAAGGCUUGGAAGGGUAGCCGGGCUGCGAGGGUGACCUGACAAGUUGGGCUGGGAAUGAGGCACGGCCCCGAACGGGAGGGGGGGGAGGGGUGGGGUGUAUAGGGGGCGGAGCGCAAGUCCGACAAAGCCGCGUGGGGGGUGAGAGCCAGCGGUUAGGAUUCCGCUUCCGCCUUAGCCGAGGAGUGAAUGACGGUAAUGGGUAAAGAAGCCCCGGCUAACUACGUG
rnacentral:rRNA from 1 species